CAGUCGAGCGGCAGCGACAACAUUGAACCUUCGGGGGAUUUGUUGGGCGGCGAGCGGCGGACGGGUGAGUAAUGCCUAGGAAAUUGCCCUGAUGUGGGGGAUAACCAUUGGAAACGAUGGCUAAUACCGCAUGAUGCCUACGGGCCAAAGAGGGGGACCUUCGGGCCUCUCGCGUCAGGAUAUGCCUAGGUGGGAUUAGCUAGUUGGUGAGGUAAGGGCUCACCAAGGCGACGAUCCCUAGCUGGUCUGAGAGGAUGAUCAGCCACACUGGAACUGAGACACGGUCCAGACUCCUACGGGAGGCAGCAGUGGGGAAUAUUGCACAAUGGGCGCAAGCCUGAUGCAGCCAUGCCGCGUGUAUGAAGAAGGCCUUCGGGUUGUAAAGUACUUUCAGUAGGGAGGAAGGUUCAUGCGUUAAUAGCGUAUGGAUUUGACGUUACCUACAGAAGAAGCACCGGCUAACUCCGUGCCAGCAGC
rnacentral:rRNA from 1 species